rnacentral:lncRNA from 1 species
GUUUUUUCAACUAAAUAUUAUGGAUAGGUAACUAGAGAUCCAAGAGGGCCUCAGUGCAGUAGUUUUGGUAUCAGCAGUCAAGAUUUUUUUUUAAAAAGUAUGCUAUUUCAGAAUGCCUUGAAAAUAUAUCUGGAGGGCUGGGGAUGUGGCUCAAGCGGUAGCGCGCUCGCCUGGCAUUCGUGCGGCUGGGGUUCAAUCCUCAGCAUCACAUACAAACAAAGAUGUUGUGUCCGCCAAUAACUAAAAAAUAAAAAUAUUAAAAAAGAAAGAAAAUAUAUCGGAAAGUGAAACGAGAGAGAUCCAUAUAUGAUCUUUGGUGCUACUGUUUAUUAGUAGAGUAGUUUACCCAUUUUAGUUCUUGUCCUUGGGAUGUUGGAGAAGUUUUUGACUAAUCUGUAAUCACCUUAAAAUUCAAGCUGGAUAUAGGCCCAGUAGCCUCUAGCAGUAAUUCUUCAAAGAGGAAUUGCACAAAGAUUUUAUGAGAAUUUUGAUUUAAAAGUGAAAGUUAUUGCAGAGUCUAAUAAUAAGAGAUUCUGUCUCUGGUGAGGCUUGAAAUUAAAUACAUAGUUGAAGAAUACUCUAAAAGAUCUUUGAUUAAUUUUGGGAAUUCUGUAGGAUGAAAUUUAGACUUCAUAGCAUGACCUAUAUGAUGUUUCAUAUUUCAUAGUCUCUGUGACUUUCACAUGUUUAUCCUGUGCUCCAGGGGUAGUGAACUGCAAAGUAUUUCUGAUAGUGGUUAACACUUCAGUGCUUUUGUACGAGUUGUUUACACUAUCUUCCUUCUUUGUGACUCUCCCAAGUAGCUCAUUAGGCAUUCUCUCUAUUACUUAUGAAGGUAGUUACUGCAUGAAAUCCAGGAAAUUGUACAAACCUAUUUGUCUAGGUGUGAGGGUCCUUUAUUAAUCUGUCAGUGCCUUGCACAAUAGGUCGCAUACAAACCCAGAUAACUGUAUUGAGAAAUAUUAAGAUACGCUGUGGAAUUAACUAUUUCAGGUUGAAGGUAUAUCCAUAAAUCAUGUUUUUCUUUUAAAGCUAUGCUUUAAAAGCAAUACCAUGUAAUUUUAAAAUGGUGGAACCUAUAGUUAACUAGAAUUGGUCUAGUAGGUUAUUUCAGUUUUUACAGCUAAAGCAGUUUGACCCUGUUGAAUACUUUAAUUGCCUCUGGAUGUGUUGAAACCAAAUGGAC